GUGCUUGAUACGGCGGCACAUAUGCUAAAAUUGGAUUGAUUCAGAGAAGAUUAGCAUGGCCCCUGCAAAUGAAUGUCACGAAAAGUUCUCCAUCUUG
rnacentral:snRNA from 1 species